AUUGAACGCUGGCGGCAGGCUUAACACAUGCAAGUCGAGCGGGGUGAUGGUGCUUGCACUAUCACUUAGCGGCGGACGGGCGAGUAAUGCUUAGGAAUCUGCCUAUUAGUGGGGGACAACAUCUCGAAAGGGAUGCUAAUACCGCAUACGUCCUACGGGAGAAAGCAGGGGAUCACUUGUGACCUUGCGCUAAUAGAUGAGCCUAAGUCGGAUUAGCUAGUUGGUGGGGUAAAGGCCUACCAAGGCGACGAUCUGUAGCGGGUCUGAGAGGAUGAUGCGCCACCCGGGGACUGAGACACGGCCCAGACUCCUACGGGGGGCAGCAGUGGGGAAUAUUGGACAAUGGGGGGAACCCUGAUCCAGCCAUGCCGCGUGUGUGAAGAAGGCCUUAUGGUUGUAAAGCACUUUAAGCGAGGAGGAGGCUCUUUUGGUUAAUACCCAAGAUGAGUGGACGUUACUCGCAGAAUAAGCACCGGCUAACUCUGUGCCAGCAGCCGCCGUAA
rnacentral:rRNA from 1 species